rnacentral:rRNA from 1 species
AACGAACGCUGGCGGCAGGCUUAACACAUGCAAGUCGAGCGCCCCGCAAGGGGAGCGGCAGACGGGUGAGUAACGCGUGGGAACGUACCUUUUGGUUCGGAACAACUCCGGGAAACUGGAGCUAAUACCGGAUAUGCCCUAACGGGGAAAGAUUUAUCGCCGAAAGAUCGGCCCGCGUCUGAUUAGCUAGUUGGUGAGGUAACGGCUCACCAAGGCGACGAUCAGUAGCUGGUCUGAGAGGAUGAUCAGCCACACUGGGACUGAGACACGGCCCAGACUCCUACGGGAGGCAGCAGUGGGGAAUAUUGGACAAUGGGCGCAAGCCUGAUCCAGCCAUGCCGCGUGAGUGAUGAAGGCCUUAGGGUUGUAAAGCUCUUUUGUCCGGGAAGAUAAUGACUGUACCGGAAGAAUAAGCCCCGGCUAACUUCGUG